CAGGGAGACAACAAAAUGUUUAAUAUUAUUAUUUUGUCNCCUUAGGUCGAUCGGUAUCUCACAUUCUUAAUUUAUUAAGGAUUUCAUUUCCUAAGUUUUUCUAGGUCACACCCAUUAUUUUUCCUGGGCCAUUAGCUCAGGUGGUUAGAGCGCACCCCUGAUAAGGGUGAGGUCCCUGGUUCAAGUCCAGGAUGGCCCAUAUCUCUAUGUUGGGGGUAUAGCUCAGUUGGUAGAGCGCCUGCUUUGCAAGCAGGAUGUCAGCGGUUCGAGUCCGCUUACCUCCACUGAUUACCACCUCUUCCAUAAUCUGUAGAAAGGAAAAUUUUUGUGUUGUGAACCUAAUUCUGAACGAAUCUAGCUUCCUAAUGAAACCAUUAAGAUGCUGGACUCAUUGAAUUAAUUCAUUGUUUUCAGAGAACCUUGACAACUGCAUAGAUUAUUUUUAAAGACAAUAAGCAUUUUUAAUGAUGCAGAUUUAUUAUUUUUGCAAAUGCAUUAAUAACAAUUCUAUUAAGCUGAUGCUUCAAAUUUUGAAGUUAUU
rnacentral:tRNA from 1 species